AUCAAUGAUUUAAUUGUUUUUGUUCAAUCAAGAUAAAAAUGAUCAUAAAUCAUAUGAAUAUGACGUCUCAUUAAUAAAUAUUCAUAUUAUAUAUAUAUAUAUAUAUUAAUAUCAUUAAAAUUAAAUUAUAUACUAUAAAAUAUGUUAAAUUAAAUUUUCAUUGAAAAGUUAUUGAGAUAUUACUAUUUUAAUUUUGAAAUUCGUAUUAAAAGUUUUCACAUUAAAACUUUCGUGAUUAACAUAUUAAUUUUUUGUUACAACAAAUACAAAAAUGUUAAUAAAAUUAUAUGAGUAGGAAGUGUCAAUAAUAAAUAUUUAUAUAAAAAUAUACUAUAUAUAUGUCAAUAUAACUAAAGUUUAAUUAUAUACCAUAUAAUUUAAAUAAAAUGAUUGUUUUGACUUAUUUACCAAAAACAUGAUUGUAAAAAAACAAAAGGUAUUGGUUUUGAUUUAUGUGCUUACUAUAAUGUAUAUACUGUUAUGUAUACAAAUUAUUUUUUAAAUAGGUGGUUUCUAAUAUGUUUUUGAUCCUGACAAUCCAAGAAAUACACUUCUUCAAAUCGAAGUGAUUUUUCGAAGUAUUUUUUUGGAACUAUAUAUAUAUAUUUCAUUCAGACAAAAUUAUUUUGUCUUGAUUUUUGUUCCUAAAAAGCUUUUAAUAAAUUAUCAUGACAAGAUUUCAAUCACCUCCUUUUGAGUUUGUUUGAAGAAUGAGAUAUUUGAUCAUUUGUCUAAUAUAUAUUUCUUCCUAAUAUCCUAUCUAGCUAUUAUAAUUUUAAGAAUGAUAGAUUUGAAAAAUUUAUUAUAAAUUAAUGGUUUAUCAUUUAAUAAAUUAAACAAUUCUUAGGUAUACACAUAUUUUACAUAUAAUAGAAUAGUAAAGUAUUAUAUAUUUUUAUCGGUAUACUCUUAAGUAACUAAAAAUCAAAAGCGUAGAUUAAUAAAAUAAGUAAUUUUUUUUGUUGUUCCAGAAUUAAAUGAUUUUUUUAUAUUCCGAAUCUGCACUUAUAUUAUAUAACAGCUUGAUAUAAUUGAUUUGAACACUAACCUGUGAAUAGAGUUUACCGGUGAUUUUUUUCAAAAAUUUGAUUCUUAGAUAUGUAUCUGGAGUGGAAGUAAUUUUUACAAAUGUCUAUCAUUUUAAAUUGACACUUAUGUAAUUCACCGAAUUCACAAAAGAAGUAAAAAAAAUAAAAAAUUCAUAUCAGUAAAACAGAAACGAGAACGAAAGCACAAUUUUAAAGUGGUAAAAAAUGAAAUCUCUUAUAGAGAGUCAAUAAUAAAGAAAUCGAGAGCAUAAAACCUAAUCUUCUUUCGUCAUCUUACAAUCGAUGUUGUUUAUCUGCUUUUAGUGAUUUGUGUCAGGCGCAAAAAUUAAUUUUCUUUUGUGCAUAUGAAGUCUUAAAAAUAAUUAAACUGAGCUUCAAUUCGUUUAACUCUUCAACAAUGAUGAUACAUUUAAGAUACCAAAAAUUAUAUUCGUCAUUUUACAAUCAAUAAAGGUUGUAGUGUUGCAAAAUGUUAAAACUAUUUAAUGAACAAACAUUAAUAUAAAAAAUUACUCUGCGCAUGCGCGGGUUAUCAUCUAGUUCUUUAUUUGAUUUAAUGCGGAACAAAUUUAUACUAUAUAUCUCUGUAAUAAAAGGAAUGAGAAGAAAUAGAAAAGAAAAAAAUAUUCUUUAUGAAUGGUAAAAUUUGUUAGGAAUAUUAAGGAAUUGAUAUUACGUGUAUACACACACUACCACAAUCGAAUGGUAUGUCAAUCUAGCACUUUAGGAUCAAAUCGACAGAGACCAAUGGUUACACUUUAUCUUUAUGGGAUCAAUAUAAAGCUAAAACAAUAAGGAGGUUUCAAGACUAAGGUAUCAAAACAAGCAAGCAACAGAUUGGUUUAAAGUUUUCAAAUGAUUAAGAAUUUUAGCCUAGGGUGGGUUGAUCGGGUGUUAAACAAGCGUGAACCAAACAAUUAUUUAAGUUCAAUUUAGCACUAGCCUAGAACUCGGAUCACUUAAGAUAGAUCAGCCCACUGUCGUGGUGCUUCACCUUUUGUCAAUCGAUAUCAGUACGUAAACUGUUUUUUGGACUGAGACGCGAUGACAAACAGUAAGAUCAAGUCCGAUAUGUUCACAAAACACCCUAACAUCUACUUUCACUAGUUAGGGAUGCAAUGCUCAUUCGUUCAAUGUCUAUCAACCUAUAACAAUUUUGAUGAAUAGAUUAAAACUGUGAAAAGAUGCUAAAUGACCAGUUUAACACAAGCAGUAAGUGUUGCAAUAAAUGAAAACAAUCAAUUUAUAACUUAUUCAUGUUUAGCCCACAGAUCAAACACCCUAGACUAAGCAAGUUGACUACUCAGCCAUGAAGCAAGAAAACACAUAGAUUGAAACUGAAUAAUACAUCACUGCAAUUAUAAAAGAAAUAGAGUAGGGUUCAGGGGGUUCUUCGCUAAGGCGAGAGAAAUAUCUUUCUCCUAUCACAAAGUAUGAACUCGCAAAUGGAACUCUAGGGUCUGGUUUCUUCUUCAAAAACUAGCGUCAAAAUAAAUUGAAAGAGAAAAAAAAAGAUAUAUGGAAACCACAUGCGGCUAGGAGAAAAAUAUGGGAUGAUUAGGGCAAAUCCCAAAAUAACUUGUAGUUUUCUUAAAAAUCUAUGUCGCUGGAACAGUCACUCGGGUGCUCCGCUCGAUCGGGAACAGCCAUCAGACUCUUAUGCGUGAAAAUCACCAAAUUGCAAUCUUUUAUUCUAACUGGUCCAUCUUCCAUCCAAAGCAACUCCAGACCUGAAGUGACUCGAAAAAGACUAGGAAAACUCGAUAAAGACUUGAGAACCAAUCAGAAAACAUAUAUACAAGAUGUCAAAAACACCAUAUAUCAGGAAAAAUUGUUCAUUUUCAUUCAUUAGUCACCAUUCAUAGCCUUAACUAUUUUAGAGCAUCAACAUUGGCCGAGCCUCUCACAGUAAUGAAAAUAUUAAUAUUUAGUUAUGCAACUAUUUUUCAUUUUUCCUUUAAAUAAUUAAACUAAUAGAAAAAUGACAUGUGUAGAGUUUGUUUCUCAAACAUGCAUAAAAGUAUCUCAAUAAAAAGACUCUCUAUCAUCUCUCUCUUACUUGUAAACUAAUUUUCUUUAGUUUAAUUGUUUGAAAUCAUGGGAGAGACUCCCACUAAUGGUUCUCUUAGACUAUAUAAAAUGGUUUUUGUGGGAACCGAAAUUCGCACCGUCGAUUUCCGUAAUCGGAGGAAAGUCAAGAAACCCUAACUUUCUCUGAGGUCCCGGAUUCUCUGCAGGAGCCAACGACAAGUGACCAAAUGAAUGCAGAAAAUAUGAAAAGAUAGCAAAACGAAUUUAUAGAAAAGGUAGAUCUAAUUUCAAAUCUGCGUAAAAGCGUUGGGAUCAUUACAAUAGAUUAUAAAAGCUUCGGCCGCAAUAGCUGUCAGCGAAUUACCUAGUUCUAGCAACCUGAAACUUUAAACCUAGUUGAGUCACAGCUCGAUAACAGAAGACGAAAAAUAUACGAAAAAGGUUUUGAUUGAUUUCGGACUGAACCUUAUGAAAGGCUGCCUACGUACCCCUUUCGAGGAUCAAACCGAAGAUAGUUUGAUUGAAAGAGUAGAACAAGAGAUCGACUCGCCUUAGCUAGUUCGUCUAGUAAUCGAGUGCUAGUCAUAGAAACAAAACAUGUCGAGAAUAAUACCUAACGUUUCUAAGUGCAGAGAGUUCUAAGAGUAAAAAGAAUUGUGUAUUUGCCUCUUCAACCUCGACGUCCUUAUAUACUCCUCCUAGAGGCGCUUUGCUCUUUCCCUUUCUGCCAUUGGUCGAGUUUAUCGCUUCGCAGAAAUAUUCCAUUUUCCUUCGAUCUUCAUGUUUAUCUUUGGGAACUUCACAUUUAUCCUCCGAACUGGACAUUUAUCUUCUCCUGCAGAAUAAAAGAUAAACCGUCAUAACCAUUGGGCUUGAGUGGGCCUUUAGCCGCGUUAUGGACCCUUUCGGGCCAUUUUCCGACUUAAGCAUUUUUACGAUUUAUCGAAAGAGCGCUUCCGAAACGACGUCGAUUCCGAAGAAAGUUCGAAUUUCUCGUAUAGUGGAGGCAGUUCAAGGUGUUUAGUUAACCAUUUCCAUUUUAUACGAUCAAUUCAGAUUACAUACGAGACAACGAGUUCUUGCGGUUUUUAAAUCGUAAAGUUCCAAUUGUGAUUACGACUGAGAUGAAACAAAAGCAAGUUUGAUUCGAUCUCGAAGGAGAGAGCUACGAGGACGGGAUGAAGAUAGAUUAGUUGAUCCAAAUCGCCGAACGGGCGAGUUAGACUGCUUGCUCGGUCCAACUCGCCUGUGCGGCAAGAUUUCUCGUAUAAUUUUGAUUUUUAUAUGAAACAAGCUUUAUAAAUCCGGAAAUGGUUUCAAGACUUUGGCUAAUCGCCGAGUUUCAGUUUGAUAUUUGUACAUGUUUUCUAUACGCAUGAUUGCGACAAGAAAUGUUGUAUAGUCUUUGAGAUUAUGUUCAUGAUCAUCUGGAUAUCUUGCUAGCGUUUAGAUUAUCGUUAGACUUCUAGAUUGUCGUUUGCCUUUUUGGGACGAUUUUAGUUUUUUGAAGUUUGGGAGUAUACGAGUAUAGUAUACGUAUCUACUUCCCUUUUUUUACGAAAAAACUGGUUGAACCGAUACUUUGAAUGGUUAUGUACGUUUCUUAUUGAUACUUUGAAGGGUUAUGUACGUUUCUUAUUCUGAGGAUUGGAAUGAUCGACAAUACGGGUCGAUUUAAAGAUGAUUUUGGGACUGUGAUUUGGUUGUUUUCAGGCUGACGACUUGGAAUGUGUCGGUUUUAAGAAAAUUGCUAGAAAUAAAUCGGUUUUAAUGUAGAUCAUCUCUUUUGGCGAGUAAUCCCACAGAUGGAGGAUUGGAAUGAUCGACAAUACGGGUCGAUUUAAAGAUGAUUUUGGGACUGUGAUUUGGUUGUUUUCAGGCUGACGACUUGGAAUGUGUCGGUUUUAAGAAAAUUGCUAGAAAUAAAUCGGUUUUAAUGUAGAUCAUCUCUUUUGGCGAGUAAUCCCACAGAUGGAGGAUCUUCAAUUUGCGUGGAUACUAUGGUAUAUUCGGAAAGGAAGGAAUGAUUAAGUUUUUAGUAAUUUGGAUAUGGAUCCUCGAGAUACGCUCAAAUUGGCAGAAACAAAAUCAACACUCUGGGCUGAGGCACAAAUACCAAAGGAAAACAAGAGAGUAUUACCAGUCGAGCUUACAACCCUUCCUUCGAUCCCAAGAAGAUGGUGUUUCACAGAUGGCUCUUGGAAGGAGAAUGAUAUCUUCUCAGGACAAGGUUGGCUAAGCACCUUAGAAGAUUUUUUUGUUGGGCUGUUGGGGGCGACGAAUGUUCGGGCUUGUCUAACUCCUCUGCAUGCGGAGAUAGAAGAUUUUUUAUAUUGGCAAUGGAAUGUAUGAAAAAUUUACGUCAAUUUCAGGUUACGUUUCAAUGAAUUGUUCUCAAUUGGUGAAGAUGGUUUCGGAACCAGAAGAAUGACUAGCUUUUGCAAAUUAUUUGGAAGAUAUCAAGACCCUGAGAGAAAGUUUCAUUAGAUCAGAGAUUAUCUAUGUACCAAGGAAGCAAAAUUCAAAGGCGGAUAGUCUAGCACGCAGUGUUAGAAAACAACUGUCUUUCGUCGUUCACAUGGAUCAGGAUCUCCCGGAGUGGUUCACAGAGUCAAUAUGAGUCUGUAUUUGCUGACAAAAAAAAAUGAAACAAGAUUCUGUCCCGCCCUUGGAAAGGGCGGGAUUAAUUGUGAUUGCAAAAAUAUACUUAAUAAAAAUUAGAAUUUUAUGUACUUUUGUAUUUAUAUAUAAUUUAUUUUUUUAUUUAGUUAUAUAAUUUAUUUUAAUUAUUAUUGGAUAUAACCCAUAAAACUAUUUGAGAUAUAAUCCAAAAUUAUAAAAAUAUUAGAGACAUUUGGAAUAUUUAUUGUGUUUCACCCAAAUAUUCAAACCAAAGUAGUUUUUGUUAAAUUUAGAUAUUUGGUAUUAAUUUUUUUGAUGUCAUUUGUUAUUUUUAAAUAUUAAAGAUGAGGGCACCAUGGCUAUUCAUCGACUUUUCACUGCUGCCGUUUCUGUUCAAACUCAAUCCGACGAUGAUUUCAAGGUUUUCGAAACGAUCAAAACUAACUUAAUCUCCAAAUAAGGGAGAGAUAUCGUAAAUCCGAUUGUAUUAGAUCCUAAUUUAAAGGCAAACCAGAAAGUGUAGUUUAGUACUUUGGAACAACCAUGAAGGAAGAGAACCAAGAACAAAUAAAAAACCAGAGAUAUAUAUGAUCUCAUUCAGAAAACAGAAGUCAGAUUGGAUUAAUUCGACAGACUAAGCACAUCUAAAAUCAGUGAAUAGAAUGAAAUCCCUAAAAGUCAAUUAAAAAGAUGAAAUCGCUAAAAGUCAUUUAAAAAAGAUGAAAUCGCUUAACAUGACAUGAUUCGGAUGAGAAGCAACACAACAAAUAUUGAAAUCUAAUGUUAAAAAUGGAAGUUCUUUCUCAAAGAAUUGAUGUGAGAGAAGAGAAAGAAGUUAUGUAAGUGGUUUAUAAUUGUAUACAAAAAUUAAGAUAUGAUUGUCCAAAACCAAAAGACUAUAAUGCCUUUAAUGAAGGGCAAAAAAUCCUUUGAAAACACGAUGGCAAAAUAAGUAAUAUUCCAGGUAAGAGUAGAGACAAUUGUUAGCAAUGAUCAUGUUUUAAUUAUAUUGAUUAUAGUAGAAAAAAUGAGUUUUUUUCUGUGUCCAAAUCAAAUGAAACAAGUCUCUAUUUAUAGAAUAUGAAAAAUAAUUAAUUUUGAUAUAAAAACAAUUUUUCUAAAAUAAAAUUUUAAGCGAUAAUUGAUCUCAAAUAA